rnacentral:lncRNA from 1 species
GGGCAUCCUGGCCACAUACUCACAGGGACAUACUCUCCUUGUAGCAGUUGGGAUCUCCCAGCUUAUCACUUCCAAUUUACACCCUAACUUUGUGUGCUAAGGUCAUGGUUGAAAAAUGGUGAAUGGAAACAGAAGGGACAGUAAUAAGGGAAGGACAGAGAAGAGGUAGGAUAGAGAUGCAACAGAGGGGGCCCUCAGAAAGAAAGGCAAGGAGAGUGUCCCUGCACCUUUAGGCCCCCCUCCCCUCCCCAAAGUAGUCAUCAACCAAGACCUAGAUAGAUGAGGUGAAGUGGGUAAAGAAAAAGUACAAAGGGAACAGCACUUGUUAGUUUCUUUACCUAGGUACUCAUCAGAAUGAAAUUUCAGGAAAUGUCAGGACACUUACAAAAAGAUCCCAGUGGGAAAGACGAUUGUGAAGACCCGAAAACCAAGAAGGAAAAGUCAAGUUAACUCGUGAGUAUCCUGAGUAUCACGAGUAUCGCUCUGGUCCGCAGCUGCCGCAGCCUCGUCGUCCUGCUCCAACUGCUCACUGAUCACCAAGGACCACAGUGUUCUGGUUCCCAUAGUGCCCGCUCCUGACGUCUACCACUUGUGGGCGCCCAUCUCAAGGUUCCAUCCUCCCGGGAGACCCCGCCCCGCCUGCAGCCACCUCCCCUCCGGGACCACCACUGACCCUGUGGCCACCCUGACCCUGGAUGGCAAUUGGUCAGCAGCCAUCUCUGCAGUCCCCAGCCCAAUGCAGCGCCAGAGCGACCACCUCCAUCCCACACUCAUCCCUGCACUUCCUCCAGCGUCCAGGACUCAGACUCCCGCCUAAUGCAUGGUGAGAGAGGUCCAGAGCUUGCUGCCUCCAUCCCCACGCAUGGCCCUUGGAUGCCCUAUCAAGCCACCUCCAAGACCACCCUGGCCACAUAAGCCCCUCCCCGCCAUGCACUGCCAAGUCCCCCAGAGACCAGCCACUGGCUAUGUCAUUAACAAUAUCAUGAACAAGUUCCUGAUGAAGAGAAAUGGUGGGUGGAAUGGGGAGCAAUGGUAUUUGGGAGAGAAAAGCAAAUAGAGACAGAGGUAUGGAAAGGAGAGGAAAUUACAAAAGGAAGAGAAGAGAACAAAGUAGACCAAAUGAGAUAGGGGAAGAUACAGGGAAAAGUAGAGUCAGGGAAAGAGAAAAUAAAAUGGAGAUAGAGAUAAGGAAGAUAGACAACAGGUGAUAAAGAAAGACACCAUUCACUGACAGAAAAAGACGGAGAAACACUUCUCAUAUGCAAAAUGUUCUGGUGGAAAUGAGGCCAAUUCGUCCUUAAAUCACCUGGAAAUGAUAAAUAGAAUCUGGAUCCACAAUUGUUUUUCAGAUUUGAUUUUUAAAAAUUUACCCAUAAGGCUUAAACAUACCUGUUCCUAAAUCAAUAGCACUAAUAGUACUGAAGACACCCCAAACAAACAUUCCUUCAAAAACCACUAGAGGAAUGAUGCAC